CCCCUCCAGUGUAUUCAACCCACGGUGUAUCUUAUCCGCUCCCCUCCUAGCGCGGCGGAGGAGGAGAGGGUGAGUGGCGGCGCCGCACUCUCCAACUUCUGCCUACACACCACCUACGCGCCGUCGUCCGUCCGGGUGGUCGGCGGCGGCUACCGCGCCCCGGAGGUGGCGUCUACUCCCUGGGCGUGCUCCUGCUGGAGCUCCUCAUGGCAAGUCCCCGACGCACGCGUCAGGGCGCCGACGACGUACGUCCUCCUUCUCUUCUUUCACGAGACGGCUCCGGGCUUCGACCAAAUCCCGCCCAACUCGCCCAGAUCGAGGCCUUCAGGCUUUUGUGGAAUCCUCGUUCAGCUCUCCGCCUCUACCAGAUCCACGCUGAGGGGCUUCGGCGCCAUCCCCCGGUGUGAUUUCCUCAUGGGUCCCGGCUUGAUCGAGGCCAAAAGCUUCGGCCGUCCGUCCACCAUGGCUGGGACCUGCGCGGAAACUGUAGAUGAAUUUAUACGAGUGGAAUCGACACUGUGGCAGGGUACGGUGGAGUCACAUUGUGCAGCCUCGGUAUCCCAAUCAGGGAUUCCUUCUAAGGAUGCAUAUAUUUUGAAGGGUGAGGGAUAAUGAUUUGGUUAAAGGCCUUCGGCCUCUUGCUUCACUGAACAUUUGUGUCCAUCGACCAAGUUGUAUAUACGGGAGAAGAUAAGCAAGUCCAAAGUGAUGUUCUAGCUGGGCCUCAACACCUUGUCCCUCUGACCACAACGCCCAACCAUGAUCUGGUCAGCAACCAAUUGUAACACUAUGCCUAGGUUCUGAUUAUAUCUACUUGAUGCAGAUCACAUGAGCAGAGGGGUUCAGCAACUCUUACUACUCCUGGCUGUGAAAGCUUCUGCUUAUAAGUCAUCUCCAGUACCUGCUUAUCCAUGGUCUUUUUGAGCCAUCCAAAUUGCAAAACGCAAGUCACCAACACCAAGAAUCAGGUUCCUGCCAGAGGAACCCAAAGUAGAACAAGAGAAGGAAAACGACGGUGAAGAGGUUCUGUUGGAGAAAGGGCUGCAUCACACACUUGCCGCCAAGGCCAUGUUGUCGAGGAGCCUGUGAUUGCCGCUCCAGCUGCCUCUCGCGCCAUGGCCCAUCGCAUGGGGUGCAUUGUGAGAAUCUGCAUCAGGCUCGUGCCGCCUCUCCAGCAGGUACUCAACGCAAUCCUAGGUUGUUGUGUUGACUUGAUUCAGUUGUUCAUAACAGUUAUGCAGCUCUCCUGGGAUGUUAUGUUGACUUGAUUCAGUUGCUGAUAACAGUGAUGCAGCACUCUAGGUAAUAGUUAGUAUUGGUGUCAACGAGAGCAACUAGAGUCGCUAGCUGUUAUGCUAAAAGCAACAGGAUGCAUCUUCUCCAUGCAAGAAGACAAUAAGGAUAAAGCAGCAAAGAGCAGGCCGUUGGUGGUGAUGGAUAAUUUCUCUAAUCAAUUAAAUCGUAGAUGCCCUCCAGCAUUGCACACUAAGAGAUUGCAUUGCUUAGAUAUAAUGAAAGGUGACUUCAGUUUUUAAGAAAGUUGAGGUGUCGUGAUUGUUAUUUUUUUAUGCAACAAUUACCUAAGCUUGCCUGGCAAGUAUACAUUCUGAAUUGUAUGUUCAGAUGAUAUUCACAUAUUUAGACUGAAUCGUUAAAUCU